UUUACGUUUUAGCACGCAGGAUAGUCGAACGGAAUGGAAAGUCCGGCCGUAGCAGGUGAUAGCCCUGUAGACGAAAUUCUGUGUGUGGAACUAAGCGUAAGACAAGUAGGGCGGGACACGUGAAAUCCUGUUUGAAGAUGGGGGGACCAUCCUCCAAGGCUAAAUACUCGUGAUCGACCGAUAGUGAACCAGUACCGUGAGGGAAAGGCGAAAAGAACCCCGGAAGGGGAGUGAAAUAGAUCCUGAAACCGUAUGCAUACAAACAGUAGGAGCCUCCUUGUGGGGUGACUGCGUACCUUUUGUAUAAUGGGUCAGCGACUUACAUUCAGUGGCAAGGUUAACCGAAUAGGGAAGCCGUAGCGAAAGCGAGUCCGAAUAGGGCGAUUUAGUCGCUGGGUGUAGACCCGAAACCAGAUGAUCUAUCCAUGGCCAGGUUGAAGGCACGGUAACACGUGCUGGAGGACCGAACCCACUAAUGUUGAAAAAUUAGGGGAUGAGCUGUGGAUAGGGGUGAAAGGCUAAACAAAUCUGGAAAUAGCUGGUUCUCUCCGAAAACUAUUUAGGUAGUGCCUCAAGUAUUACUGCGGGGGGUAGAGCACUGUUAUAGCUAGGGGGUCAUGGCGACUUACCAAACUAUGGCAAACUCCGAAUACCCGCAAGUACAGCUUGGGAGACAGAGCACCGGGUGCUAACGUCCGGACUCAAGAGGGAAACAACCCAGACCGCCAGCUAAGGUCCCGAAUUAUCGCUAAGUGGGAAACGAAGUGGGAAGGCAUAGACAGUCAGGAGGUUGGCUUAGAAGCAGCCAUCCUUUAAAGAA
rnacentral:rRNA from 1 species